CAGGAUGAACGCUGGCGGCGUGCUUAACACAUGCAAGUCGAACGAAGAGAGAUUAGCCUUUGCUAAUUGAACUUAGUGGCGGACGGGUGAGUAACGUGUGGGCAACCUACCUUAUACAGGGGAAUAAUCACUGGAAACGGUGACUAAUACCGCAUAAUAUUGCGAUAAGGCAUCUUAUUGCAAAGAAAGGAGCAAUCCGGUAAAAGAUGGGCCCGCAUCUGAUUAGCUAGUUGGUGAGAUAACAGCCCACCAAGGCAACGAUCAGUAGCCGACCUGAGAGGGUGAUCGGCCACAUUGGGACUGAGACACGGCCCAAACUCCUACGGGAGGCAGCAGUGGGGAAUAUUGCACAAUGGGGGAAACCCUGAUGCAGCAACGCCGCGUGAAGGAAGAAGGUCUUCGGAUUUGUAAACUUCUGUCCUCAGGGAAGAUAAUGACGGUACCUGAGGAGGAAGCUCCCGGCUAACUACGUGCCAGCAGCCGCGGUAA
rnacentral:rRNA from 1 species